GUGCAGCAGGCGCGAAAACUUUACAAUGCCGGCAACGGCGAUAAGGGGACCUCGAGUGCCAGGUUACAAAUCUGGCUGUCGUGAUGCCUAAAAAGCAUUGCAUAGCAAGGGCCGGGCAAGACCGGUGCCAGCCGCCGCGGUAACACCGGCGGCUCGAGUGGUAACCGUUAUUAUUGGGUCUAAAGGGUCUGUAGCCGGCCGGAUAAGUCUCUUGAGAAAUCCAGCAGCUCAACUGUUGGGCUUUCAGGAGAUACUGUUCGGCUCGAGGCCGGGAGAGGUGAGAGGUACUUCAGGGGUAGGGGUGAAAUCUUGUAAUCCUUGAAGGACCACCAGUGGCGAAGGCGUCUCACCAGAACGGACCUGACGGCAAGGGACGAAAGCCAGGGGCACGAACCGGAUUAGAUACCCGGGUAGUCC
rnacentral:rRNA from 1 species